rnacentral:rRNA from 1 species
AGGGAAACCGAGUCUUAACUGGGCGUUAAGUUGCAGGGUAUAGACCCGAAACCCGGUGAUCUAGCCAUGGGCAGGUUGAAGGUUGGGUAACACUAACUGGAGGACCGAACCGACUAAUGUUGAAAAAUUAGCGGAUGACUUGUGGCUGGGGGUGAAAGGCCAAUCAAACCGGGAGAUAGCUGGUUCUCCCCGAAAGCUAUUUAGGUAGCGCCUCGUGAACUCAUCUUCGGGGGUAGAGCACUGUUUCGGCUAGGGGGUCAUCCCGACUUACCAACCCGAUGCAAACUGCGAAUACCGAAGAAUGUUAUCACGGGAGACACACGGCGGGUGCUAACGUCCGUCGUGAAGAGGGAAACAACCCAGACCGCCAGCUAAGGUCCCAAAGUCACAGUUAAGUGGGAAACGAUGUGGGAAGGCUCAGACAGCCAGGAUGUUGGCUUAGAAGCAGCCAUCAUUUAAAGAAAGCGUAAUAGCUCACUGGUCGAGUCGGCCUGCGCGGAAGAUGUAACGGGGCUAAACUGUGCACCGAAGCUGCGGCAGCGACGCUUAUGCGUUGUUGGGUAGGGGAGCGUUCUGUAAGCCUGCGAAGGUGUCCUGUGAGGGAUGCUGGAGGUAUCAGAAGUGCGAAUGCUGACAUAAGUAACGAUAAUGCGGGUGAAAAGCCCGCUCGCCGGAAGACCAAGGGUUCCUGUCCAACGUUAAUCGG